CACGUCUUUUUGCUGCGCUGCGCGAA
rnacentral:piRNA from 1 species